GAUGAACGCUGGCGGCGUGCCUAAUACAUGCAAGUCGAGCGAACAGAUGAGGAGCUUGCUCCUCUGACGUUAGCGGCGGACGGGUGAGUAACACGUGGAUAACCUACCUAUAAGACUGGGAUAACUUCGGGAAACCGGAGCUAAUACCGGAUAAUAUAUUGAACCGCAUGGUUCAAUAGUGAAAGACAGUUUUGCUGUCACUUAUAGAUGGAUCCGCGCCGCAUUAGCUAGUUGGUAAGGUAACGGCUUACCAAGGCAACGAUGCGUAGCCGACCUGAGAGGGUGAUCGGCCACACUGGAACUGAGACACGGUCCAGACUCCUACGGGAGGCAGCAGUAGGGAAUCUUCCGCAAUGGGCGAAAGCUUGACGGAGCAACGCCGCGUGAGUGAUGAAGGUCUUCGGAUCGUAAAACUCUGUUAUUAGGGAAGAACAAAUGUGUAAGUAACUAUGCACGUCUUGACGGUACCUAAUCAGAAAGCCACGGCUAACUACGUG
rnacentral:rRNA from 1 species